rnacentral:rRNA from 1 species
CAUGCUGUAAACGUUGGGCACUAGGUGUGGGGAUCGUUGUGGUUUCUGCGCCGUAGCUAACGCAUUAAGUAAUCCACCUGGGGAGUACGGCCGCAAGGUUAAAACUCAAAGGAAUUGACGGGGGCCCGCACAAGCAGUGGAGUAUGUGGUUUAAUUCGAAGCAACGCGAAGAACCUUACCAGGGCUUGACAUCCUCGGACGACACUAGAGAUAGUGUUUUCUCUUCGGAGACUGAGAGACAGGUGG